ACAUCGGGGCUGGCAGAGAAAUCGCGUGAGCAGCCGACGCUGCGAGGCCGUUGCUGCAGGGUGGUGUGCUCUGGGCCGUGGACUUUGUCCUUUGGAUUCACUUUCUUCUUUGUGAAUCAGGAAGAUAAACAAGCUGGCGGCAGCUCCUGGGUGUCAGUGCAGUGGGUCCUCGUCCCCGGAGUUGCUCUUUCUGAGCCACCGAGGGCGUCUCUGCUCUCAGCAUCACCUUUGCAUCCGUGGACGCCAUUGGCUGAAAAUGAGUUCCGGGGUGAGCUGCUGAGCCAGAGGUGGACACACGGAGACAAGGCCACCAGCUGCAGGACCUCGAGGCUCUUGCUGGGCGGACACGGCAAGGUGAGGCGCUGGGAGGGCAGCCCCCGCCCUGGGGCCCUGGGUGCAGGCAGGGGUCCAUCUCAUGCCUAGACUUUGGGUCUCGUCAUUCUCGACCUGGAUUGGGCAAAGAGUAAGUGGAGGCCAGGCCCAUUAAAGAUCUGGUCACUUUGAAACUCAAGGAGGAGAAGUCAC
rnacentral:lncRNA from 1 species